rnacentral:rRNA from 1 species
GAUGAACGCUGGCGGCGUGCUUAACACAUGCAAGUCGAACGAAGCACUUUAUUUGAUUUCCUUCGGGACUGAUUAUUUUGUGACUGAGUGGCGGACGGGUGAGUAACGCGUGGGUAACCUGCCUUGUACAGGGGGAUAACAGUUGGAAACGGCUGCUAAUACCGCAUAAGCGCACGGCAUCGCAUGAUGCAGUGUGAAAAACUCCGGUGGUAUAAGAUGGACCCGCGUUGGAUUAGCUAGUUGGUGAGGUAACGGCCCACCAAGGCGACGAUACAUAGCCGACCUGAGAGGGUGACCGGCCACAGUGGGACUGAGACACGGCCCAAACUCCUACGGGAGGCAGCAGUGGGGAAUAUUGCACAAUGGGCGAAAGCCUGAUGCAGCGACGCCGCGUGAGCGAAGAAGUAUUUCGGUAUGUAAAGCUCUAUCAGCAGGGAAGAUAAUGACGGUACCUGACUAAGAAGCACCGGCUAAAUACGUG